rnacentral:lncRNA from 1 species
GCUUGGGUUGAAUUUAAAGCGGAGUCGGUGCAUUGUUCAGGAGGCUUCGCGCCCCCAGUGCAUUGACAGCAGCUACUGUUUACACGGACUGUUCAUUCCUGCGCUGUUUGCUUAUGGAAAAUAAGGGGGAGUGACAAAGAGAAGAGAGGAAAGGAAGAAGGGCAGAGAGGGAGGCACUGGCCGAGGUGCAGAGCAGAAGCCUUGCUCUUGCCCGACCAUUAACGUCGCUGGAAGAGCCGCUGCCGCCCGGCUCCUAGCCCGCCACGGCCUGUGUGGUCAGCCGGGCAAAGGGCUGCCCCCGCCGUCCCACACGCUUCUCCGCCUGUACGUAUACGCACACACAGAGCCUCCGAACGUGCCUCCGCAGGCAUGAGACUCCGGCUGCUCCUGUGUAUCGUGUUUUUCCUCCUGGCGAGCCUCCUGCCUGCCGACGGACAGCGGACAGCCAACCUGGCCCUGCGCAGGAAGCUCCACCGGCCCGGCUGCUCACACCGGCGCUGCGUGCCGCUCCACUCCAGGGUGCCCUUCCCCUGAGCGCCACUGGAGCCUGGCCCAGCAAUUUCAUAAUGGGCUUUUCAGUGUUUUAAACGAGCAAAAAUUAAAUCGAUGGACAAGUUAGUCAGCAGUCCAGAUCAACAACAGCUGACCUGAGAGAGCCACUGCAGUCCUGUCUUCAGCAGUCCUGUCUGUCACAUUCGCAAGACCUGGAAGGCCCUGGCUCACACCUUAGGAAGUGGGGAGGGGAGAAAUGGAGGGUGGUGAUGGGAGGAUGUACAUGAAACUUACCUGGCUGAAACAUUCCAUAUAAAUUCCUUGGCUCUCAUAAGGACUACUGAAAGUUAAAGACCAAAUCAAACAUCAGGUACAUGAGAUGGAUUUUCAGUGGAUCUGUCCAAAGGGACUCUUAAUGGUCUAUACUGUUCAGACUGAAACUGGAUGUGCUGUUGACUACUUAAUUCUCGCUGUGUGUAGGGCAGCAUUUAGGGUGAAACAACAUCGGACUCCAGCACAGAAGGUGAAAGUCCAUUUUUUUGUUUAUACUUUUAUAUAUUAAUAAUAUAUACAUGUAUAUUUUUACAGCUAACAUUACAUCUUUAUGGAAUUGCCUUAAUAAUAAUGUAGAAUGUAUUACUGUAAUAGUACCAAAGUCAUCACUAUACUACUGGUCCUACUGGCUUCACGUAUAGUAACCAUAGUAGGAGUUUACAAUGUAAGAAAGCAAAGAAAGUAUUAUCCUUCAUUCUAUAGAUAGAGAAUUGAAGCACACAGAGAUAAGAGAUUAGCCAAGGGUCAUGCAAAACUUUGAUAACUCGUUAUCCCUCAACUCAGGCCUUAAGGUCAAGCCCAUCUUCCUGUCUAAUGAGCUGUUACUGCAAAGCCUAUCGUUUGUUUUCUUAAACUGAGCUGCCAAACCAGACAGCUGAAACAUACUUGAAAAUUCAGUACUAUAGAACUAUUUGCUUAAUAGUAGUUUUCCUAAAAUACCCACCACAGUAUUAUAAAUAGAGCAUAAAAAUAGACCAUUGAAAAGAAACCUUUGUUUGGUGAACCCCAGUGUUGCGUAGUACUCUAUUCCUGUAAUUUAAAUGAAUGGGAUAUAUGGAACACAGCACUACAAUGAAUGAGGACUUCAAACAAAAAACAGACCGUUCUUUUCAGUCCUGGAGGUCAAAAAUACAUUGAGCUUUUAUUUUAUGUUUUGUUUUCAAAAAUGUACAUUUCGCAUGUUUUUAUAGCACCAGAAAUUCCAAACCUCCAUAUAAAGGAAAACAUGGUAGCCCUUGCAUUAGCAGAACUAAACCAAACCUGAAAUAAGUCAUACCCAGAUUUUUAAGCCAUUACACUAGAUUCGCAAUUUCCACAUUUUUUGUAAGUUGUAUAAAGGUGACUGAAGAUCAGCAGUGCCACGGUUUAAAUCCAGUAUCAGAUUUUUGUCUUGCAACACAGUUUCUAAUAAGAACAGCAAUCAAAAAAAGCAGACAGCUGAAACCUUCUGAUCAGUGUCUGUAUCUAACCCCUCAUCUCUAAGAACUUGAAACCUGAAUCAGAUUCAUACUGGCAGAGCUUAACAGAAGUUUCAAAUGUCUCUGUAUAGAGGGAGAAAAAAACCCCAAAACCAAAACCCAACGAACUCAAAAAACCCAAAAAAACCAAACAUCACACCUUAUUCUGGAGUUCUGGAAAAUCAUCAUAAAAGAUGGUCAAACUUAUCUAUACCAACAUCCCUGCAGGUAAACCUUUGGAGUUUUGAAGAAAAAAAACCAAACCAGUUUUCCAAAAUUGGAGGCAUACUACCACUAAUUUUAUUUUUUAAUUAUUUAACUUGGCUUUCAUAUGUAUCCAUGGCUAUCUCUGUUUAGAAGUAGAGGUAAAGAGUAUGGGAAAGCAAGAAAUGCAAAGAGUAACUAUUUUAACAGUUAUAAAUGAGUAUACGGAUUUAGUGUGGCACUGGAUAUUUUAUAUAACCAUAAUUCAGUUAACUUUGAUAAAAUAAUAAGCAUAAUGUAUCUUAGUGAAGAGCUACAUAUACACAUUCCUUUACAGAUGUAAAAAUAAAUAAAGCAAGUACCAAAGCGCCCUAGGAAGCCCACUGUCAGCCUACAAAAUUAUUUUAAAUGUCUGGUUUUUUAGACAUGAUGAUAUCAUAAAAUCUUUGAAAAAGGCAUUGAUUGUGAUUUUUGAUAGAUAAGUUUAUCAACUAGCUGGUUGAGUGUAUAUUUUGUAAAAAGAUGGUAUGCACUUCAAAUAACAUCUCACUUUAAAUAAACUUUUUAUACUUCUCAAAA